rnacentral:rRNA from 1 species
GCUCAAAGGUUCCCUCAGAAUGGUUGGAAAUCAUUCAUAGAGUGUAAAGGCAUAAGGGAGCUUGACUGCGAGACCUACAAGUCGAGCAGGGUCGAAAGACGGACUUAGUGAUCCGGUGGUUCCGCAUGGAAGGGCCAUCGCUCAACGGAUAAAAGCUACCCCGGGGAUAACAGGCUUAUCUCCCCCAAGAGUUCACAUCGACGGGGAGGUUUGGCACCUCGAUGUCGGCUCAUCGCAUCCUGGGGCUGUAGUCGGUCCCAAGGGUUGGGCUGUUCGCCCAUUAAAGCGGUACGCGAGCUGGGUUCAGAACGUCGUGAGACAGUUCGGUCCCUAUCCGUCGUGGGCGUAGGAAAUUUGAGAGGAGCUGUCCUUAGUACGAGAGGACCGGGAUGGACAUACCUCUGGUGUACCAGUUGUCGUGCCAACGGCAUAGCUGGGUAGCUAUGUAUGGACGGGAUAAGUGCUGAAAGCAUCUAAGCAUGAAGCCCCCCUCGAGAUGAGAUUUCCCAACUUCGGUUAUAAG